UAUUUAAUCUCUAGAGAUUUUAUUUUUUGCUCUAAUUCUAAUUCAGGUAGCAUGUCCUUUUUUUUCUUGUGCGAUGAAUAUGAAAUUAUUCUACCGCGCAUAACUGCCUUCCCAGUCUCCCAAAGAACACAGGGUGAGGUUCCCCUAAUUAAAGUUCCCUCCUACUAUAAGUUUGGAACCAGAGUGAGCAGACAGUGAUGUGAAGAAGCUGUGAAAGAAAGAGGGGUCGUCAACAUUAGGGCCAUACACAUUAGCUAUGCAAUAUUCAAUGUUUCCUAUCAAGAUAUUAAUGAUUAUAUAUCUCCCUUCUGGAUCUACAAUGGUAUCGUUAUGAGUAAAGAUAAUCUUUUUAUUUAUCAGGACAGCGACCCCUCUUUGUUCAGAAUUGUAACCGGAUAAGUAAGCAUGUGGGAACUCUGUUGAUGCCAGAGUAUAAACUAUAGUUUUGGGAAUAUGAGUUUCCUGUAGUAAAGAAAUGUCUGCUUGUAGGGUUUUCAAAUGAUUAAAUAUUUUAAAUUGUUUCCCCUUCUUAUUGAUUCCACGUACAUUCCAAGUAACAAUCUUCAGUGGUGUCAUAUCUUACCUGACUGCUGUGGAUCACUAGUCUUGUGUGUAUGUAGUGUGACAGACUUUAGGCGUGUGGCUAACCUUAAGUACCUGUGUAUUCUGAGUCAUGUGUUAUCUAUCUACGUGCACGUGUUUCCCCUGUGCAGUAGAUGUUUGUGUGUGGCUGCUGGAGGGCUACAUAGCUGGCUGACUACGUGGGAGGAGAAUAAAGAAAAGAAGGAUGUAAACAGUGUGGAGUGAAAGUAGGUGAAGGAAAAAGAGUAAAGGGAAGGAAAAUUAAAGUGAAAGGAAGGUGAGUGAUUAAGCAUGAUGGGCGCUUUGCAAAGUCAGUGAGUGAGUGACAUUAGCAUGACAAAAAACAUUUACAUGAAACAUCUGCGAGGGAACAAGUUUGAAUACUGGAUGUAAAGUUAUAACACUUAGUUGCAUUGCAUCUAUUAUUUUUUAACAAACCUUUUAUAUUAAACCAUUUUUGUUACAUACCACCUGCUAGUACAGCUGAUGACAGCCCUGCAGCCUUCUGCCAUGAAAUUUUUGCGCAUGGGGAAUAGUUGGCGGCAGCGGUCGAGGAUCUCCUUGGGAAACUGAUCGUUGACUCUGUAGUCGGUUCCCUUCAGCUGUCUGCCUCGGCUCUUAACCAGUUCCUUCUGCUUAAAGUCAUAAAACUUGGCAAGGAUGGGUCGAGGGCGCUGGCCAUCCGGUCGUCUUCCUCCGAGUCUGUGGGAACGGUGAAACGCCAUCUUGUCGACAACCUCCUCUGGAAUCUUCAUCUGUUGUUCAAGGAAGUUUUUUACGGUGGUUUCCGCGUUUUCCUCUGCCUGCUCUGGAAUCCCAGAGAACACCAGGUUGUCCCUCAUGCUGCGGGCCUGCAGAUCAAUGAUGCCUUUUUUUAUUUUCGGACGCUAGCUGAGCCACAUCCUCCUUCAGGGACUGCACCGUUCCCUUCAGGGCCUCGUUCUCGGUGGCGAGAGAAACCACCUGCUGCUGGCUAAAUUCCAGGGAGUCGCGGACGGCCAUAAACUCUUUGUGGAGGAGAUCCACUAGCGCCAGACGCGCGUCGAAGCUUGUUAUUUUUUUCUCUAUGGACUCCAUGAUGUCCGUGAUGUUUUUGUUAGCUAGAUAGCUAGCUCCAGGUGACUCAGGUGAGUCAGACGGACGGGAUCUCUUGUUUGGAGCUGUGUCUUUUUUCCCCAUUACCAGACGCUUGAAGCACUCGUCGAUGUACUCGAAACUUUCUUCGUGUUAUCCAGAAUGGUAAGAUGUUUGAUUGUUUUCCGUAGAAUGAGGUAGUUAUUUAUUUAUUUAAAUUGGCGGAUAGUUUGUCGCCGCCUUGUUGAAUUUCUCGUGCUGUUGUCGAGUCUUGCGUUCUCUCACAGCCUCGCGCUCCCUCACAGCAACACUAGUUUCCAGUUAUCUUUUUCUAAAACCUCUGAAAUAGAAAGAAACAGAAACAGUUUUGAAUCGGUCUGCAAUGUUUUGGAGUAGAGGCUACACAGCUGUUUUUAUAAAACAGGGAAAACAGCUGCAUAUUGAAAAUAUUUUGUAGAGCAGGAUUAAAGUACCACCAAACAUUUUGUGUGUGGGUAAAACAUCAAGUGGGCUGAAAGAGGUCUUACUUUCAGCCCACUUGAUGAGGAGAUACUUCUCAUCACUUUAGUUUAUUUAUUCAAUAAAAUUGGCUCAAAAUAAUCUAAUAUUAAUUUUUUUAACAUUGUUGUUGCCAACUGUCAAAGGUCCUUUAACUAUUACGAGUCACCAUGGCAACAGGACAACAAAAGAGGUCCGGAAAGGGAUAUGACCUCAAGCAAAUAUCGACUACGAGCCUAUAUUUCGUAGAAAAAGCAACACGGCUGCAGCGGCAAAAGAGAGAGAAUUCGCUUGGAAGAAAAUAGCUGCUCAAGUCAAUGCGCGGAAUCCUGCAGGUAUAAAAAGAACGUGGCUGAAAAUGAAAUAUAAAAACAUAAUUCAAACAGCCAACAGAAAGAAGGCAGAGGCUAGAACAACAGAGCAUGCAGAGGAGAUGGCCCUUGGCAUGAACACUGGAAAGCAGAGGCUGAAGGAAUUCCUGGAGGGAGUUCAUCAGAACCAGUCACUCCCCAGGAUACAAGUGCAUGUGUAAAAUAGUGUGGAAGAACAGCAGGAGGACGGUCCAUCACAUUCUGCUGCACAGAUGCACACAGUUCAGUGAUGUUCUGUAAAUGCCAGAGUUUAAUUCUGUAAGAGUAAUGAGGAACUAUGUCAUGUAACUCUAAAUCCUCUGUAUGUCCAGUCACCGGUUAAGGAGUUGUAUAAACUUCAUCUUGUCAAGAAAACAGUUAUACUUGGACCACAAGAUUGAAAAGACAGAUCUAGAAAUUGAAAUUCUCAAAAAAAAAAAAAACAAAA